rnacentral:lncRNA from 1 species
CGGUAAAAAAGAAGAGAAUGAUCUCUUUCUCUGAAAAUAACCUAGGCACACACAUAUACAAAAGGAAAAAUUGAACAGCAACCUUUAGCUGAGAUUGAGUAUUUAUUAAGUGUAUGUAGAACUUGUGUACAUAUGAAAGAGUGACGAAUUGGGUGUAGGAAUUACUUUUGUUGGAUACACAAUGCUAGAAAGAUGCGUACAGGGGCAUGUCAUCCGAUAACAUCAAGGGGUUGGCUUUUGCUUUAUUAUCAAGCAUAUUCUUCGGUGGUUUGAAACGACAACAGACAUGAAAAAUUAUGAUAUUUGGACAGAAAAAAACGGGAGAUUUGCUUCUUGUCCAUUGUAUUUUCUUUUUCGAAGUUGAGGUCUAAUUGAAAUCGCGUUUGGUUUUCGAGCUUUCCGGUAUCGAUUCGAGGUUCCGGUUUGUUAGUUGCGGUGUUUCAGUCCAAGGAUUGUUGCUUUGUUUAGCCCAAUUGACUUGCCAUUUUCAGCUUUAUUCAUCAAUAAAAGGUCCAUUUCUCAAAUCUUCAUUCUCAUUUCAUUUUGUUAUGAUAGCUUGGUGCAAAUGUUGGUUGAUUUGGGAUUUUACAUUGUUUGAGUAGUAUGUCUUAGUUUUCAUUUAAAUUGUUUUAAUUAGUUUUAUUUUGAUUGUGAUGUAUGUAGUCUUGGUUCUUGAAUAAAUGCUUUUAAUUGGGUAGUUGGAAAAAUUGGAGUUGUUUCUUUCUUGGGAAGGAAUUGGAAUGUGCCAUAAGGUGGAUUUUGAACCAUAAGGAAUCUGAAUAAGUCAUGUUAGCUAUCAUAUUUACUCCCCAAUAAUAUCUUGUUCAUAAAUUUGGCAUCAAUAAUUCAAACACGCUAGUUGCUUUAGGCGCAAUUAAUAAAAUCAUCGUGACUACGGGUACAAUUCCCGUGACGUAGUUGUGAUAUAUGAUUUCAAAUCCGGGGGUACAUUUCAUGUGGUCCGAUUUUUAAUUUUCUAACAAGGUUAAAUAGAUCGUGUCGUGACUCACGGGUGCAUUUCAUGUAGCGUAGCUUACGAUAUGUUUUAAAUAACCUUGAAUUAAUUCUUUAAAUAAAUAAAAGCGGUUUUUAAAGUUAAAAAUGCGCAUAGGCUUAAAAGUAUUUUAAAAUCAAAUAAAUAGACCAAUAAUAAUAGUUGAGUGACCGUGCUAAAACCACGGAACUCGGGAAUGCCUAAGACCUUCUCCCGGGUUAACAGAAUUCCUUACCCGAAUUUCUAUGUUCGCAGACCGUAAAUAGAGUCAAUCUUCAUCGAUUCGGAAUUUAAAAUUGGUGACUUGGGACACCAUAAAUUAUUCCAUGUGGCGACUCUGAAUUUUAAAUAAAAAUAAUCUUGUUUCAAUUGUCACCUAAAUUGGAAAAAACUCUCUUAUAUCCCUUCCAGGGGUAGAAAAAGGAGGUGUGACAGCUCUGGUGACUCUCCUGGGGACAAGAACCCAAAAUCUUUGGUUCAGGAUUCAAGAAUUCGAGCUUAGAAUAAUUAUUAUAUUUGGCUUUAUUUAUUAUCUGAUUUUAUUUACAUGUUCGCUUUGAUAUUGAUUGAACUGCGUAUAAAAACUGUUACGAAACCCUCUUCUCUCUAAAUCUUCUAAAUCAUUUGAGAAUGGUGCACUUCGUGUAGAUUCUCUUCUGUUAGAGUCAUAUCCCAAUUUUAGAAUGAGGUUCGGACAAGUUGCAAAGCCGGCUUCUGUAUUCCUGGUACGCUGCCCCCCCCCCCCCCCCCGGCUCGAGCUGCCCACUCGGGUAAGCCAGGUCUAUAACAAAUAAACCCAGGUUUUAAUUCCUAGAAUAACAUAGCCUCAUGCCGGAUCCCUAGUAGGAACGCUUGUUUGAAUCAUGUGCAUUUGACUUUGGGGACUCAAUAUAGGGUUUGGGUCCGUCUAGGACAGGUGUGCCCAAAAAUAAAAGACUAUCAUGAUGCAUCCUAUGUGCUACAUGUUACAUUUUUCAAGGGUAAAAGGGUCAUUUUUCGGACCAAUGAUUGCUGAGGGCAAACGAAAAAAGAAAAAAAAAAAGAGGGUGAAGUGUGAAAAAUAAAGCAAGUAGAGCCCGAUUAUGUUUUCUGUCACAUUUUGUUAAGAAACAAAAGCAUGAAAAAAUUCAAAAAGAAAAAGAUUUUGCACUAUUUCAUCAUUUUCCGAAAAUCAAAAAAUCAAAAAGAAGGGAAAAAAUCCAAAAAGAGUUUACAUGUUUCAUCAUUUUUCAAAAAAGACAAAAUUUUUUUUUUCUAAUUUAGUUGUUUUUUUAAUUCUUGCCUGUAUCCAAUCGGCCCGAACUACGCAUACCUGAUUCUCGUCUUUCGAGGCAUGAUACGUAGGCAACUCACAUAGGGUUCGGUCUUCCUAGUAAAUCUUAGGUUCUUGGCUUAGCGGGGUCUUAGCCAAAAUUUGCAUUUCUAGCCACCUUUUUGCCACAUAAGCCUUUUUGCAAAAAUAACCCCAAUCACAUCUUGCAUUUGUCCAACAGGAAGGGUUAUUGUCUCACAUAGCGUUCUAGGUCUUUAACUUUAUUUUGUCUUAAUUUUCUCCUACAGGUGUGGAUUUACUUACCGGAGUUUGAGCAUGACAGAGCCCUAGGACCAUCUAGUCAGGAUCACCCAUUCAGGAGUGGAUUAAAAGUAGAUUUAUUUUUCUUUUUUUUUGUUUUGAGUCUAUUUUUAUGUCAUUUUUUACCUUUUUGUUUUGUACAGUAAUGUCGAGUCUUUUGGGUGAUGUUAGAGUUUGUCAUAGUCUAGUUAUGUUUGCCGAGUCUUUUGUUAUUGCAUUUCUUAUUUUGUAUUUGG